CCAACUAAAGAAAGAAAAAUGAAACUUAUUAAGAUAGCAAAAAUGUGGAUGAAUGGAAAGAAAAUGUCCCCUAGUGUAACAGAUUACACCUCUAUUUACAUGAUUGAAACUCAUCACUCACCAUGUUGUCACAGUAUAGUACACAAUCUCCUGAGCCUCAUCAUCUUCCUCCCUGUAUGCCUUUUUUGGUUCUUGGGAAUGAAGGGAACAACACAAGAGAAUAUAUAUCUCAAAAAACAUCAUAUUCUCCAUUUCUUGGAUACAGUUACGUCGCCAUCUGGUGUCGGUGCCAUUGAUUCAUGA